UAUUGGUCAAUGGGCGAGAGUCUGAACCAGCCAAGUAGCGUGAAGGAUGACUGCCCUAUGGGUUGUAAACUUCUUUUAUAUGGGAAUAAAAUGAGUUACGUGUAGCUUUUUGUAUGUACCAUAUGAAUAAGGAUCGGCUAACUCCGUGCCAGCAGCCGCGGUAAUACGGAGGAUCCGAGCGUUAUCCGGAUUUAUUGGGUUUAAAGGGAGCGUAGGCGGGUUGUUAAGUCAGUUGUGAAAGUUUGCGGCUCAACCGUAAAAUUGCAGUUGAUACUGGCAUCCUUGAGUACAGUAGAGGUAGGCGGAAUUCGUGGUGUAGCGGUGAAAUGCUUAGAUAUCACGAAGAACUCCGAUUGCGAAGGCAGCCUGCUGGACUGUAACUGACGCUGAGGCACGAAAGCGUGGGUAUCGAACAG
rnacentral:rRNA from 1 species